UUUUAGUAGCUUAAACACCAAAGCACUGACCUUGUAAGUCAGAGACGGGCAAACGUGCCCCUAAA